rnacentral:rRNA from 1 species
AACGAACGCUGGCGGCGGGUCUUAGGCAUGCAAGUCGAACGCGUGUAGCAAUACACGAGUGGCGCACGGGUGAGUAACGCGUGGGAAUCUGCCCAUUGGUGGGGAAUAACGUUUGGAAACGAACGCUAAUACCGCAUAAGCCGGAAACGGGAAAGGCGAAAGCCGCCAAUGGAUGAGCCCGCGUUGGAUUAGUUAGUUGGUGGGGUAAAGGCCUACCAAGGCGAUGAUCCAUAGCUGGUCUGAGAGGACGAUCAGCCACACUGGGACUGAGACACGGCCCAGACUCCUACGGGAGGCAGCAGCUAAGAUAUUGGACAAUGGGGGAAACCCUGAUCCAGCCACGCCGCGUGAGUGAAGAAGGCCUC